rnacentral:rRNA from 1 species
ACGGAGGAGGCUAGCGUUGUUCGGAAUUACUGGGCGUAAAGCGCACGUAGGCGGCGAUUUAAGUCAGAGGUGAAAGCCCGGGGCUCAACCCCGGAAUAGCCUUUGAGACUGGAUUGCUUGAACAUCGGAGAGGUGAGUGGGAUUCCGAGUGUAGAGGUGAAAUUCGUAGAUAUUCGGAAGAACACCAGUGGCGAAGGCGACUUACUGGACACAUAUUGACGCUGAGGUGCGAAAGCGUGGGGAGCAAACAGGA